rnacentral:rRNA from 1 species
GGGUUGUGAGGUUAAGCGACUAAGCGUACACGGUGGAUGCCCUGGCAGUCAGAGGCGAUGAAGGACGUGCUAAUCUGCGAUAAGCGUCGGUAAGGUGAUAUGAACCGUUAUAACCGGCGAUUUCCGAAUGGGGAAACCCAGUGUGUUUCGACACACUAUCAUUAACUGAAUCCAUAGGUUAAUGAGGCGAACCGGGGGAACUGAAACAUCUAAGUACCCCGAGGAAAAGAAAUCAACCGAGAUUCCCCCAGUAGCGGCGAGCGAACGGGGAGCAGCCCAGAGCCUGAAUCAGUGUGUGUGUUAGUGGAAGCGUCUGGAAAGGCGCGCGAUACAGGGUGACAGCCCCGUACACAAAAAUGCACAUAUUGUGAGCUCGAUGAGUAGGGCGGGACACGUGGUAUCCUGUCUGAAUAUGGGGGGACCAUCCUCCAAGGCUAAAUACUCCUGACUGACCGAUAGUGAACCAGUACCGUGAGGGAAAGGCGAAAAGAACCCCGGCGAGGGGAGUGAAAAAGAACCUGAAACCGUGUACGUACAAGCAGUGGGAGCACGCUUAGGCGUGUGACUGCGUACCUUUUGUAUAAUGGGUCAGCGACUUAUAUUCUGUAGCAAGGUUAACCGAAUAGGGGAGCCGAAGGGAAACCGAGUCUUAACUGGGCGUUAAGUUGCAGGGUAUAGACCCGAAACCCGGUGAUCUAGCCAUGGGCAGGUUGAAGGUUGGGUAACACUAACUGGAGGACCGAACCGACUAAUGUUGAAAAAUUAGCGGAUGACUUGUGGCUGGGGGUGAAAGGCCAAUCAAACCGGGAGAUAGCUGGUUCUCCCCGAAAGCUAUUUAGGUAGCGCCUCGUGAAUUCAUCUCCGGGGGUAGAGCACUGUUUCGGCAAGGGGGUCAUCCCGACUUACCAACCCGAUGCAAACUGCGAAUACCGGAGAAUGUUAUCACGGGAGACACACGGCGGGUGCUAACGUCCGUCGUGAAGAGGGAAACAACCCAGACCGCCAGCUAAGGUCCCAAAGUCAUGGUUAAGUGGGAAACGAUGUGGGAAGGCCCAGACAGCCAGGAUGUUGGCUUAGAAGCAGCCAUCAUUUAAAGAAAGCGUAAUAGCUCACUGGUCGAGUCGGCCUGCGCGGAAGAUGUAACGGGGCUAAACCAUGCACCGAAGCUGCGGCAGCGACGCUGAUGCGUUGUUGGGUAGGGGAGCGUUCUGUAAGCCUGUGAAGGUGUGCUGUGAGGCAUGCUGGAGGUAUCAGAAGUGCGAAUGCUGACAUAAGUAACGAUAAAGCGGGUGAAAAGCCCGCUCGCCGGAAGACCAAGGGUUCCUGUCCAACGUUAAUCGGGGCAGGGUGAGUCGACCCCUAAGGCGAGGCCGAAAGGCGUAGUCGAUGGGAAACAGGUUAAUAUUCCUGUACUUGGUGUUACUGCGAAGGGGGGACGGAGAAGGCUAUGUUGGCCGGGCGACGGUUGUCCCGGUUUAAGCGUGUAGGCUGGUUUUCCAGGCAAAUCCGGAAAAUCAAGGCUGAGGCGUGAUGACGAGGCACUACGGUGCUGAAGCAACAAAUGCCCUGCUUCCAGGAAAAGCCUCUAAGCAUCAGGUAACAUCAAAUCGUACCCCAAACCGACACAGGUGGUCAGGUAGAGAAUACCAAGGCGCUUGAGAGAACUCGGGUGAAGGAACUAGGCAAAAUGGUGCCGUAACUUCGGGAGAAGGCACGCUGAUAUGUAGGUGAAGCGACUUGCUCGUGGAGCUGAAAUCAGUCGAAGAUACCAGCUGGCUGCAACUGUUUAUUAAAAACACAGCACUGUGCAAACACGAAAGUGGACGUAUACGGUGUGACGCCUGCCCGGUGCCGGAAGGUUAAUUGAUGGGGUCAGCGCAAGCGAAGCUCUUGAUCGAAGCCCCGGUAAACGGCGGCCGUAACUAUAACGGUCCUAAGGUAGCGAAAUUCCUUGUCGGGUAAGUUCCGACCUGCACGAAUGGCGUAAUGAUGGCCAGGCUGUCUCCACCCGAGACUCAGUGAAAUUGAACUCGCUGUGAAGAUGCAGUGUACCCGCGGCAAGACGGAAAGACCCCGUGAACCUUUACUAUAGCUUGACACUGAACAUUGAGCCUUGAUGUGUAGGAUAGGUGGGAGGCUUUGAAGUGUGGACGCCAGUCUGCAUGGAGCCGACCUUGAAAUACCACCCUUUAAUGUUUGAUGUUCUAACGUUGACCCGUGAUCCGGGUUGCGGACAGUGUCUGGUGGGUAGUUUGACUGGGGCGGUCUCCUCCUAAAGAGUAACGGAGGAGCACGAAGGUUGGCUAAUCCUGGUCGGACAUCAGGAGGUUAGUGCAAUGGCAUAAGCCAGCUUGACUGCGAGCGUGACGGCGCGAGCAGGUGCGAAAGCAGGUCAUAGUGAUCCGGUGGUUCUGAAUGGAAGGGCCAUCGCUCAACGGAUAAAAGGUACUCCGGGGAUAACAGGCUGAUACCGCCCAAGAGUUCAUAUCGACGGCGGUGUUUGGCACCUCGAUGUCGGCUCAUCACAUCCUGGGGCUGAAGUAGGUCCCAAGGGUAUGGCUGUUCGCCAUUUAAAGUGGUACGCGAGCUGGGUUUAGAACGUCGUGAGACAGUUCGGUCCCUAUCUGCCGUGGGCGCUGGAGAACUGAGGGGGGCUGCUCCUAGUACGAGAGGACCGGAGUGGACGCAUCACUGGUGUUCGGGUUGUCAUGCCAAUGGCACUGCCCGGUAGCUAAAUGCGGAAGAGAUAAGUGCUGAAAGCAUCUAAGCACGAAACUUGCCCCGAGAUGAGUUCUCCCUGACUCCUUGAGAGUCCUGAAGGAACGUUGAAGACGACGACGUUGAUAGGCCGGGUGUGUAAGCGCAGCGAUGCGUUGAGCUAACCGGUACUAAUGAACCGUGAGGCUUAACCUUACAACGCCGAAGCUGUU